ensembl:lncRNA
GUACAUUUUGUUGCUAUUGUAGGUAGAGUCCGGCAAGGUAGGGAAAGAAGUGGGGGUGGGUAUCACAAGCUAUGCUGCUGUGCAUGCUUUUACCCAGGUUUCACUAAUGCCUCCAAGGACUUCUCUGAUGACACCAAGAAACAACCAGGCAUAAGGGAGCAGGAGAAUUGCUAGGCACUUUAUCUACAGUUGAUAUUUCAGAAAAACCAGAACAUUUAAAAAAGAAAUGUAAAGGAAUCCAGAAGAUUUCUUCCAACUGCCUCCUGCUAUUCGGGCAACUCCCUCAUGAAGCCCUGGAUCCCAGCCUGUUCCUAAUGAAGUGCAGAUUUCCAGUUCUUGGGAGACAGGGUUGUAUCAUAUACUUCUGUGGAUCAUUCCUGUCUUCCAAUUAAAAGUUAAAAACGUGUGCUGUGCUUAGUCACUCAGCCAUGUCUGACUUUGUGACCCCAUGGACUGUACCCCAACAGGCUCCUCUGUCCAUAGGAUUCUCCAGGGUCUCAGAAAACUUCAUUCACUCUAUUGGCCAGGCUGCAUGCUCAACUGGAGGCUUGACUGGGGAAGAACCCACUUUCAAGCUGAUUCAGCUUUCAAGACAAUUCUGAAUGGUGGUGAAACCAUCCCCCUUACAUUCUGAUUUUACUUGAAAUUGUUUUAGUUCUUACUUUUUGGGAUCUUAUAAUCAGAAGAACUAUGCUUCCCAUGAUUUGUUAUUAUAGAAGGUAGCUGUAUAUCUAG